GGGCAGGUAAUUCAGCCUGGUAGAAUGAUCGGUUGGCAAUCGGUAUGCCGUGGGUUCAAAUCCCGCCCUGUCCACCA
rnacentral:tRNA from 1 species